UGAAGCUCUUAUCUUAGAAAGAAUGAGGGAGAGAGAAUGAGUGAAUUGGCUUUGGUUUCAGUUUCAGAUCGUUAUGGCUCAGAUCAGCCUUCUAUCCCUGGAGAGAAGUGUGCAUAUACCACUAGAACAGCAGCUAACAUCUGUCUCCACUGGAGACCUCUGCACUGAGGUCUGAGAUGAGCUUGAACACUUUCUUACUUGUGAAAUAUCUGACUUCUUUGAUACAGUUCUCAACAAAUUACAUUAACUAUCAUUCCUGAA
rnacentral:sRNA from 1 species